rnacentral:rRNA from 1 species
AUUGAACGCUGGCGGCAUGCCUUACACAUGCAAGUCGAACGGUAACGCGGGGCAACCUGGCGACGAGUGGCGAACGGGUGAGUAAUGCAUCGGAACGUGCCCAGUAGUGGGGGAUAGCCCGGCGAAAGCCGGAUUAAUACCGCAUACGACCUACGGGUGAAAGCGGGGGACUCGCAAGAGCCUCGCGCUAUUGGAGCGGCCGAUGUCAGAUUAGGUAGUUGGUGGGGUAAAAGCCUACCAAGCCGACGAUCUGUAGCUGGUCUGAGAGGACGACCAGCCACACUGGGACUGAGACACGGCCCAGACUCCUACGGGAGGCAGCAGUGGGGAAUUUUGGACAAUGGGCGCAAGCCUGAUCCAGCCAUGCCGCGUGCGGGAAGAAGGCCUCGG